rnacentral:rRNA from 1 species
UACGUAGGGGGCGAGCGUUGUCCGGAUUUAUUGGGCGUAAAGAGCGCGCAGGCGGUCGUUCAAGUCGCGUGUGAAAGCCCCCGGCUCAACUGGGGAGGGUCACGCGAUACUGAUCGACUGGAAGGCAGGAGAGGGUAGUGGAAUUCCCGGUGUAGUGGUGAAAUGCGUAGAUAUCGGGAGGAACACCAGUGGCGAAGGCGACUACCUGGCCUGUUCUUGACGCUGAGGCGCGAAAGCUAGGGGAGCAAACGGG